rnacentral:rRNA from 1 species
GCUGGCGGCAUGCUUAACACAUGCAAGUCGAACGGAAACGAUGGAAGCUUGCUUCCAGGCGUCGAGUGGCGAACGGGUGAGUAAUGCUUGGGAAUCUGCCUAAUAGUGGGGAACAACUCGGGGAAACUCGGGCUAAUACCGCAUAAUCUCUUCGGAGGAAAGGGGGCCUCUACAUGUAAGCUCUCGCUAAUAGAUGAGCCCAAGUCAGAUUAGCUUGUUGGUAAGGUAACGGCUUACCAAGGCUACGAUCUGUAGCUGGUCUGAGAGGAUGAUCAGCCACACUGGGACUGAGACACGGCCCAGACUCCUACGGGAGGCAGCAGUGGGGAAUAUUGCACAAUGGGCGAAAGCCUGAUGCAGCAAUGCCGCGUGUGUGAAGAAGGCUCUAGGGUUGUAAAGCACUUUCAAUAAGGAAGAAAAGCAUAAGGUUAAUAACCUUAUGUAUUGACAUAACUUAUACAAGAAGCACCGGCUAAUUCCGUGCCAGCAGCCGCGGUAAUACGGAAGGUGCAAGCGUUAAUCGGAAUUACUGGGCGUAAAGCGCGCGUAGGCUGUUAUCUAAGUCGGAUGUGAAAUCCUCGGGCUCAACCUGGGAACUGCAUCCGAAACUAAAUAACUAGAGUAUGGGAGAGGUAAGUAGAAUUUCCGGUGUAGCGGUGAAAUGCGUAGAUAUCGGAAGGAAUACCAGUGGCGAAGGCGGCUUACUGGACCAAUACUGACGCUGAGGUGCGAAAGCGUGGGGAGCGAACAGGAUUAGAUACCCUGGUAGUCCACGCCGUAAACGAUGAGAACUAGAUGUUGGGAGGGUUAGCCUCUCAGUGUCGCAGCUAACGCAUUAAGUUCUCCGCCUGGGGAG